AUUGAACGCUGGCGGAAUGCUUUACACAUGCAAGUCGAACGGUAGAGGGGGCAACCCCUCGAGAGUGGCGAACGGGUGAGUAAUAUAUCGGAACGUGCCCAGUCGGUGGGGGAUAACGUAGCGAAAGUUACGCUAAUACCGCAUACGAUCUACGGAUGAAAGCGGGGGACUCGCAAGAGCCUCGCGCGAUUGGAGCGGCCGAUAUCAGAUUAGGUAGUUGGUGGGGUAAAGGCUCACCAAGCCAACGAUCUGUAGCUGGUCUGAGAGGACGACCAGCCACACUGGAACUGAGACACGGUCCAGACUCCUACGGGAGGCAGCAGUGGGGAAUUUUGGACAAUGGACGCAAGUCUGAUCCAGCCAUUCCGCGUGCAGGAUGAAGGCCCUCGGGUUGUAAACUGCUUUUGUACGGAACGAAAAGGUUUCCAUUAAUACUGGGAGCUCAUGACGGUACCGUAAGAAUAAGCACCGGCUAACUACGUG
rnacentral:rRNA from 1 species